rnacentral:rRNA from 1 species
CCGGGGUGGAGGUAACACGUAAGGAACCUACCGAUAANCGGGGGACGAACAUCCGGAAAACCGGGGUAGGCUAAUACCGCAUAGGAAGUUUGUUCGCAUGAACAAACUUAGAAAGAUGGCUCUGCUAUCACUUAUCGAUGGCCUUGCGGUGCAUUAACUAGUUGGCGAGGUAACGGCUCACCAAGGUGAUGAUGCAUAGCCGACCUGAGAGGGUAAUCGGCCACAUUGGGACUGAGACACGGCCCAAACUCCUACGGGAGGCAGCAGGG